rnacentral:sRNA from 1 species
GAUACUAGGGGCGAAAGCUCAGAUAUUUCAUGCUUGCAUGAAUAUAUCUGAAUUUGAGCCCCGUUAAAACAUGAACAUGUAGCCCGAUAGGGCGGAAUGUGAAUGUUUUUCUGAAUUGUGGGAGCCCAAAGGGCGGAACAAUUCA